rnacentral:rRNA from 1 species
UACGUAGGGUGCAAGCGUUGUCCGGAAUUAUUGGGCGUAAAGAGCUUGUAGGCGGUUUGUCGCGUCUGCUGUGAAAUUUCGGGGCUCAACCCCGAGCUUGCAGUGGGUACGGGCAGACUAGAGUGUGGUAGGGGAGACUGGAAUUCCUGGUGUAGCGGUGAAAUGCGCAGAUAUCAGGAGGAACACCGGUGGCGAAGGCGGGUCUCUGGGCCGUAACUGACGCUGAGGAGCGAAAGCAUGGGGAGCGAACAGG